rfam:Oryza meridionalis cultivar OR44 (W2112) chromosome 10, whole genome shotgun sequence.
CAAACGAGCUUUUCUAAAAGCCACAGCACAUAUUGUACAACUACUUUU